AAUGAACGCUGGCGGCGCGCCUAAUACAUGCAAGUCGAGCGAGAAGACGUAGCAAUACGUUUGUAAAGCGGCGAACGGGUGAGGAAUACAUGGGUAACCUACCCUAGAGUGGGGAAUAACUAGCCGAAAGGUUAGCUAAUACCGCGUACGCUCCUUGGACUUCGGUUCAGGGAGGAAAGCGAUGCCGAGGGUAUCGCGCUCUUGGAUGGGCUCAUGUCCUAUCAGCUUGNGGUGAGGUAACGGCUCACCAAGGCUUCGACGGGUAGCUGGUCUGAGAGGACGAUCAGCCACACUGGCACUGCGACACGGGCCAGACUCCUACGGGAGGCAGCAGUAAGGAUAUUGCGCAAUGGGCGAAAGCCUGACGCAGCGACGCCGCGUGGGGGA
rnacentral:rRNA from 1 species